CAGUGAGGAUGAUAAAAAGAAAAAGAAGAAGAAAAAGGACAAGAAGAAGAAGAAGAAGAAGGACUCCAGCUCCUCUUCUUCAGAUAGCUCUUCUUCAUCAUCUUCUUCUGACAGUGAGGAUGAUAAAAGAAAAAGAAGAAGAAAAAGGACAAGAAGAAGAAGAAGAAGAAGGACUCUAGCUCUUCUUCAUCAUCUUCUUCUGACAGUGAUGAUGAUAAAAA